rnacentral:rRNA from 1 species
CGGCCACAUUGGGACUGAGACACGGCCCAAACUCCUACGGGAGGCAGCAGUAGGGAAUAUUGCACAAUGGGGGAAACCCUGAUGCAGCGACGCCGCGUGAAGGAAGAAGUAUUUCGGUAUGUAAACUUCUAUCAGCAAGGAAGAAAAUGACGGUACUUGACUAAGAAGCCCCGGCUAAAUACGUGCCAGCAGCCGCGGUAAUACGUAUGGGGCAAGCGUUAUCCGGAUUUACUGAGUGUAAAGGGAGCGUAGGCGGCAUGGCAAGUCAGAAGUGAAAGCCUGGGGCUCAACCCCGGAAUUGCUUUUGAAACUGUCAGGCUAGAGUGUCGGAGGGGUAAGCGGAAUUCCUAGUGUAGCGGUGAAAUGCGUAGAUAUUAGGAGGAACACCGGUGGCGAAGGCGGCUUACUGGACGAUUACUGACGCUGAGGCUCGAAAGCGUGGGG